rnacentral:rRNA from 1 species
UGGGGAAUAUUGCACAAUGGGCGAAAGCCUGAUGCAGCAACGCCGCGUGAGUGAUGAAGGCCUUCGGGUUGUAAAGCUCUGUCUUUUGGGACGAUAAUGACGGUACCAAAGGAGGAAGCCACGGCUAACUACGUGCCAGCAGCCGCGGUAAUACGUAGGUGGCAAGCGUUGUCCGGAUUUACUGGGCGUAAAGGAUGCGUAGGCGGAUUUUUAAGUGAGAUGUGAAAUACCCGGGCUUAACUUGGGUGCUGCAUUUCAAACUGGGAAUCGUAGAGUGCGGGAGAGGAGAAUGGAAUUCCUAGUGUAGCGGUGAAAUGCGUAGAGAUUAGGAAGAACACCAGUGGCGAAGGCGAUUCUCUGGACCGUAACUGACGCUGAGGCAUGAAAGCGUGGGUAGCAAACAGGAUUAGAUACCCUGGUAGUCCACGCCGUAAACGAUGAGUACUAGGUGUAGGAGGUAUCGACCCUUCUGUGCCGCAGUUAACACAAUCAAGUACUCCGCCUGGGGAAGUACGAUCGCAAGAUUAAAA